UACAUACAUAUACACAUGUAUAUGUAAUAAAUACAUGACAUAUGAUAUUUGCAUUAUAUAUUCAAAUUUCCUACCACUGAAUCAAUGUUUUCCUAUAAAAUAUAGAAGAAAUAUCUCUGUUUCCAGCCUCUUUUUCCUUAUAGUUCAUGUCUCCUUUCUCCCACUUUGUCAAGUAGGGUAUAGAAAAUAUUCAGACUCCAACACAGUUAAAUCUUAGGUACUUUUGCUUGUCACAGUCUUCAGCCAGUCUCCCAAAUUAAAGAGCAGCUGUUCAGAUUCUCUUGGGCAAGACAUGAUGAGCCUUAUCUCCACUUCCCGUGGGGCUCAGUGUGAACUAUUUCUGGUUCUCUAGAACUUCAAGUAAUCAUCCAUGCUUUAAAAAAAAAGACGAAAACUCAAUAUUGCUUUCUUGAGUAAUUUGUGUGACCAUUUAUUGCUUUCAUCCUGAAUACAACCACUUUGUUUUGUCUCCAAAUAUAGCAUUCUUAGAAUUACAUGAAAACAUUUGUUUUGUGUACCUAUAUUGUAUUGCUAGAAAUGGCAUAAACUUUCUGCCCUCUGUGAAAUGAAGCCAAAAAAAUCGCAUGAUCUCUUUAAAAAUAGAGUUUUUAUGCCUUCAAUAAUCCCACUUUGGUAGAAAGCUGCUUUCUAAUGCAAUUUAGCUCAGUUUCCUGAAAUUGGCUUCUUAGGCUCUAAAUAGAAAUGAAAAGUGAUGGCUGAGUAAGAGGGAAAAGAGAGCGUAGACUAAGG
rnacentral:lncRNA from 1 species